rnacentral:rRNA from 1 species
GACGAACGCUGGCGGCGUGGAUUAGGCAUGCAAGUCGAACGGUAGGAUACCUUCGGGUAUCUGAGAGUGGCGAACGGGUGAGUAACACGUAGGUGAUCUACCCUCAAGAUUGGGACAACCCAGGGAAACUUGGGCUAAUACCGGAUGAAAGCAGCAGUGAUGUUGUUUGAAAGGUGGCGUAAGCUGCCGUUUGGGGAUGAGCCUGCGCUCUAUUAGUUAGUUGGCGGGGUAAAGGCCCACCAAGGCGAUGAUAGAUAGGCGGCCUUAACGGGUGGUCGCCCACACUGGGAUUGAGAUACGGCCCAGACUCCUACGGGAGGCAGCAGUCGAGAAUAGUCUACAAUGGCCGAAAGGCUGAUAGUGCGACGCCGCGUGAACGAAGAAGCCCUUCGGGGUGUAAAGUUCUUUUAUAAUGUGAGCAGUGCUUUCAUGUGAACAGCAAUGGGGAAGAGAUAUUAGCAUAUGAAUAAGCAAACGGCUAAACUCCGUGCCAGC